UCAGUGACACUAAUAACUAAUUUUAUUCGCACUUACAGUGUCGUUGUAUGUCUAUCCGUCAAUAGCUUUCAUGUACUAAUUGUAAUUUGCUUAAAAUAUGCAGUCACCGUUGGUUUUUUUCCAAGGAAGUGAAAAAGGUGGACAUGCUGACAGAUGACUUGGUCUAUACUACGAGGAAUGCGCCUUAUGCUAGUGAGGAAAUUGAUGUGGUUCCUGAGGAAUGGGCUAAGUUUUUUACCAGCAAGUAUUUAUUAUUGGCCUGAGCGCGUUUGAUCGAGUUGGCUUAGAUGUUAUAGAACAAUCUUUUAUAUUAAAAUGUAUGCGUACGUUGAAAUUGGAACGUACAUAUUUUUGAAUGUACUACAUGAACUUUGUUUUGGGAUAUAUAAUAUACAAAACACCAGUUAUUGUUUUUAUAA